GUUAGAGCUUUCCGGCUCUGCCUUUUCAAACCAAAUAUCCUGGCUGAGACUCUUCACAGGCUCGGCUCAAGUCUGACACUAGACACGACUGCUAAACCAUUGCAUCCUAAAUACCGACUAAAGGAGGUUGAGCUCACUCUUCUCAGAGUCUUCAAACACGUGACCUAUGAGACAGCAGGUAGACGCAGUGGGGUUCCCUGGAAGAUGACAGUCCACCACUCAUGACAUCUUCCUGCUGCCUGCUUUCUUUCCCUGCAUCUGUGGGGUUAAGGAGGGUGGAGGAGACAGCCAGGCUUUGUAACUCUGGCCCAGGCUUCCUCUUCUGAAGAAGGCAAGUGACCACUUGUGCAGGGCUUUGAAGCUAACGAACGGGAGCCCUCCGAGCGAUGUGACCAGAGGCACACAGCUUGGCAGGUGACCUGCUAUGACUGAUGUUCAAAGUACCUGUCAGUGAAUGGGAGGUGGCCUGCACAACGGAGCAAGCCAAAAAUAACGCAAGAGCCAGCUCACAGCUUCCUGUCACUACAAGAACAAGGCAUUCCUGAAGAGCUUGAAUCUCCUCCCGGACUCUGCUUACCUGAUGCCAUCUCACCCUGCACUGAUGAUGUCAUGAGAAGCAGUGGUUUUUCUCCCCGCCCUGUCCCCACAGCUAUUCAGGAAACUUGUGCAGAGUUUUAUCUGAGGUAGAGAGAGAGCCUCGCUCUGUGCUGCCUUAACUUGACCUUUGCCUUCACUUUGUCUGUUAGCGAUUUACUCCAGAGAUCUCCCAUUUUGCUUGGGAUUGUCUCUCCUUUAAAACAGUUUUUUUUUUUUUAAGAUUUUACUUAAUGUCUACGUGUAGCUUACCUGAAUCUAUAUCUGUGCCCAUGUGUGUGUGUUCAGUGUCCUUGGAGGUCAGGAGAGGGCAUCAGAUUCCUUGGAACUGGAGUUACAGAGAGUUGUGAGCUGCCGUGUGGUACUAGGAAUUAAACCCAGGUCCUUUGGAAGAGCAGUUGGUGCUCUAAACCUCUGAAACCUUGCUUCGGGCCCCUUUUCUUGUGUUGGAAUGGACAUCUUUCUCUUCGUGGGGAUGUGUCCCAUUUCCAGACAGAUGAGUAAGUAUGAACACUGCAAGGACACCUGAGCUUUUCCCUGGAAGCACACACAGUUUCACUCCCACCAUGUCGUGGUUUGAAUACCAUGUCCCAAUACGGUUCACACUUUGCGCUAUUUUGGAAGCUAGGGGAACCUUCUGGAAAGUGGGGCUUUGAUGAAGGAAAUGGGUUGCGUGGGUCUUGGAAAUUAUGGCCCAGCUCCACUUCCUGCUUCCUGCUCUCUGGAGAUGCAGCAUGGUGAGGAGUCAUGACUGGGGGCUGCUCCCACCUCAUGCCUUCUCCACCAUGAUAAACUGUGCUCUCAAACCAUGAGCCAAAGUGAACUCUCCCUCCCUUGAGUUAUUUCUAGUAAUUUAAGUCCUUUGUGCAUGAACAAGUGGCUGAGAGGAGCUGAAAAGUUCACAGUCAUGGUGUGAGAAUAGAAAACCAAGAAGAUUUUCCUUUAAGACUAUCUGUAGAAACUUCAGUUUCUAGUAAUUGAAGACUAGGAAAUCUGGACAAGUCUCGCAUUAAAGGUGCCCAAAGAAAUGGAUGGAAAGACCUUUGAAUUGCUUAAAGUAGUGAAAAAUUAAAAAAAAAAAAAAGAAAGAAAAAAAGAGAAAAAUUAACAAGCUAGUGAGGGUUUACAAAAUGAAAAGUUAGAUGUGGAAAAGCCAGAAAACAAAAAACAAGACUAACAUUCAAGUUGGAUUUCAUCCUAAGGGCAUCUGCCAAUCCCUACAAAACUGGUUAGUAACUCAACUGUACUUUUGUGGGAUGUGGGUGCCAGUGAGGAAAAGCCAAGACCUGCUAUCCACCAAAGGUGAGGACUCUAAUCACCCACCCUACUUCAAGCUGUCAUUCCAGAAUGGCAGCUUCUUCAGACAACAUGAAUUGUAAGUAGACAAAUUCUUGAAAAGAAUUUCUGUCCUGAUUUAUGUUACAGAGGUGGUCCAGAGAGCCACUAAUUUUGGCUUUGGUUUGAUCUGUAUUUGAAAUGUAAGAAUUCAUCAAAAGAAAAAGAAAAUUCUCUUUGGAAAAAGAUGCUAUUGAUUCUCAAAUACCUUAAAGUAUGAGUGCCAAGAAUAACCACUCAUACACAGAUACAAGCACACAGAGAAAAAUCAAACACAACAGAAAUAACAGGCAACACAAGCAGACCCAAGAGCAUUGGAGACGGCAGUUGCUGGUAUUUUUAGUCACCAACCAUAAGGUUAUAUAAGAAAUGAUCAAAGACAUAUAUCCAUAGAUCAGGAACACUAGCAUGUCGAUACACAGCACUCCCAGAUAUAACACAGUGGAGCCACAGGAACUGAUGGUUUGUGUAUACACAGGGAGAACGUGUUACCUUCAAAGGUGUAAAAUAGCUGACUUUUCAAAGUCAAUAAUGGAAGUUAAAAGGCAAUAAAACGGGCAGUGGUGGCUUGUGCCUUUAAUCCCAGCACUUGGGAGGCAAAGGCAGGUGGAUUUCUGAGUUCGGGGUCAGCCUGGUCUACAGAGUGAGUUCCAGGACAGCCAGGGCUACACAGGGAAACCCUAUCUCAAAUAAAUAAAUAAAUAAAUAAAUAAAUAAAUAAAUAAAUAAAUAAAUAAAUAAUAUGAUCAGCAGUGAAAGAAAACAUAUGGUCACUUAGAAUCCUAAAAUUCUAGUAUCAAAAAUUCUAUUAUCAUUUGCUUAAAUGAGUUUUGGAAGUCCCAGAACUCAUACUUAAGGGUGAAAUAAAAGCAUCUGGAUGUAAGACCCAAAGUCCAAAACCCAAGAUGCAAAAAGAAAUAAGGACAAACAACUUAUCUAGUAAAAAUGUUUUAAAAUUGCAUAGAAUUAUAAGUUGAUAAAUAGCAAGUUAGUUGAGAUGUAAGUAAAAAUUUGAUAUUACCAAACUACAUAGGACAAGAUUAAGAUCAGUAAUGCAAGGUUAAAAUAAAAUAUUUGGUAGAAACUAUAAUUUUAGACUAGCUACCAAAAAAUAGAUAAUUCUAAAAUAACAAAAUUUCUAAACAAAUAAAAGAGAAAAACAAUACUUUAAAAACUUAGCCAAUCCAGAGUCAAGGAGAGAGAGACAGAGAGAGACAGAGAUAGAAAAAGAGAGCGAGAGAGACAGACAGACACACACACAGAGAGAGAGAGAUGAUAAAUGAGGUAGGACAUUCCAGAAUCACCAAACAAUAUAAUAGACUAGACCUGCAAGUCACGAGUAAUUACAUUAAAUGUAAAUGGGCUAAGCCUACUCUUACUUAGUGAAUGCCCAGUGAGAGCUGUGGGUACUCAUGAGGCUACACACUGAGUUGACAGUAAGUAGUCUAAAUUCCAGCUCUUAGCUAAGCCUCAACAGAACUUGGGAUUCUGAGCAAUUCCCACACAGGAAAUGAGGUCAUCAGGUUGGAUAAUGAGUGCUCCUCAGCCUAUCCUUUCCAAUUUUGAAACUAUUCUUACGGCCUUUUUUAGAGUCUUAGUCUUCUGUGACUAAGAGCUGGUUAUGCUCCCAGAAGGAAAGGAACGCCCUCUGCUGAAAUAAAAUGGAAUUAUUUUAACUGCAGGUAUCUUAUGGGUCAAGAUAUCAGAGAAAACACAUGGAACUGGAAUUUGGGAGAGAGGACUGGGAGGAACACUGCAAAGACACCAUCCCUUCUGAGAGAGAUGAAGAAAGAAAUCUCUGCAUGGUUUUAUUUUCCCUGGACAUACACAAUAUCUGGAUGUGACCCUUAAAAUGUCACCAUCCGCUGACUUUGAAUUGUGCCGGAUGAGGGCAGAGUGGGAACACGACAAGAGUGUGUCAGGACCCACUGAGAUGCUAUGUCAGUAACCUUUAUUUUCAAACCUUGGACACAUCACCUCUUUACUCUUUAUGCUACUUUGAGUGGAGAUUAUGUUUUACGGACUGGAAACCUGCUACCCGAUGCUACCUGUUUCCAUGGGACCUAGUAGUGAGAGGGUCACCUAGUCCAGUGAUGACGGAUACAAAUAAACAUGGAUGGUCCAUAUGAGUCCAAGUAGUUUUAGUGACCACAUUAGAAGGAAAUUUCAAUUAUAUAUUUUAUUCAGUACAGUGUGUUAAAAUAUCACCAUUUAGACACAGAAUCAGCACAAAUAUUGAAGAGAGACUUUACAAUCAGUUUUACAUUAACACUUCAAAACCAUUACCUUUAGCACAUGUCCCUACUCAGGCUAGCCUGACGCUGUACGUGGCUAGUGGUUGUCUAUCUAGACGGUUCUCCACAGCAUCAGGUGGCACAGCCGCUGCCCUGGACACUGCUGCACCCAGGGUUAGCAGUGAAUGAACGACAUAAACAUCUGGAGUGCAGCUUGCCCAGUCAGCCUUGCAGGCCUGAGAGCCAGAGUGCACUCCCUCCUCAGCCACGUCAGAGCUUCUCCCAGAAACACCCAGGGUUGGGAGUGUGCCCAAGUCACUUGGCAGGCCUCUUCCCUAGCUGGGGACUAUUCUGCAGGGACUGAGUCUUGUCCUGACCACAAACUACAGUCAUGACUCCACUUGCAAUCAUAAGGAGAAGAGCCUCUUGCCUCUCCGUUGCUGCCAUGGUUGCUCUUCAUUGUCAAUGUAGGGGAUUUAAAAGUGGCCUAAGAGACAAACCUUUGAGAGCAUCUUUGAGCAUGUCACCGGGGCAUUUCCAGAGAGCAUUAACAGAGGGGGUAAGACUAACCUUGAGUGUGGGUAGCACUAUCCUAUGGGCUAGGGUCUUAGACGAAGUGAAAGGAUGAAGAACACAAACACAGCACCCACCCUCGUCUGUCUCUGCUUCCCAAGGCAGAGGCAGUGUGGCCGGCUGUCUGACACAUCCAAGACCAUGCCUUACCAUCGUGAUGAACCAGAUCUCUUCUUUUACACCUAUCUAUACACAUUAUUAAGUAGACUUUAAUUUAUUA